ACGGCGUCGUCGCCUCCGCCGGCGAGGUGGGAGAUGAAUCUCUCCGCUACCUUCCGAUCGGCGAAGAUCCCUCGCGCUCUUCCUCCCAAAUCCGGCGAGCCCGCCGCCGCCGCCUUGGCCUCGGCCUCGUGCGCGCCCGGGAAUCCGUCGGCGGAGGCCGCGAAGGGGAAGGCGGCGUUGGGCUGGUGCGUCUACCUCAUCGCCUCCUCCCGGAUCUCCCGCACCUACGUCGGCGUCACCACCGAUUUCCCUCGCCGCCUGAGACAACAUAAUGGUGAGUUAAAAGGUGGUGCCAAAGCUUCCUCUGCUGGAAGGCCAUGGAAUCUCGCAUGCCUUAUUGAAGGAUUUGUCAACAGAAGUGAAGGUUAUUGAUUGUAACCAUCAUUUUCCAACAGCUUCAGACUUGGUUGAGAUGUUACUAGAAUUGCGUAUAGCCAUAUAGUGCUCUAGCUUCCUGUGAAUUUGAAUCAAAAUGGAAGAACAUCUCCCGGAAAAUGGCACGCAAAAGGAGUGAACCUAGCAUGACCUCAUUGCUGCAGCAUCGAGAUAUGGCAUUGAGCAGAGUGAAAAACGAUCUGGCCUGUAGCCAUCUGAAAAUCAAAUGGCACUCAAGUUGAAGUUAUUUCUCUCAUGUUGGUAUGUACAUGCAUUUAAAACUAUGCAAAAAGUCACCUGUUACUUUGUAAUUUGUGAGUGUGCUUCAGCAUAGGCUUUUCAAAUUCCAUAUUUAUGUUUGAAAAUCACUUGUCUUCAAGCUCAACACUGUUAUCUCGCAGAAUGAUGAAGCUGGUUGUUGUAUUUGUUUAUUUAAGAUUAAGAUAUGAAACAUUGAAAAUUAAGGGUCCGGUGCUUUGCAAACAUUGUGUUUCUUUACUUGGAGACUGCACCGGUGUCCAAAAUGUUAUCAUUUAUGAUAUUGCUAUUUCGAUAUAUUUUUCUUCAAAGGUUCUCCAAACUACCUGGCUACCCCAGAAGCCCAGAUUGAGUAUCGUCAAGCAUAAAUGCUGUUAUCCUUGUAUUGCCACAAAUAUUUGACGUAUCAGAUACACACACAGAGCGGACCGCGCGUGUCAUAAAUAUUUGACGUAUCAGAUUCUGUCAAACAUUAUUGACGAAAUCUUGUGUUAACAGUAUUAAAGCCAUGCGUUGAUGGGAAAGAUUGAAGCCAUGCGUUGCUACACGAAGGUCAAAUGGCCAAACCAGAAGAACCUCAGUACCAUUUUCAGCAGGCCCGCCAUUCGCCAGCUCAAAUGGUCUAUAAGGCACGUCACUCAUUGGUCGAGGAAUCAAUCGACCUCCAAAAUCUUCUGGGAAGAACUCAAAAUUGGGACCAAAGUUGAACCUGACUUGACAGUUUGGUUGGUCAGGCAGUGUAUACAUUGACGCAGCUGGGUAGUACCGCCCUCCAGGAAUGUCCACAAAAGCAGUGCCCUGGCAUAUCCCAUUCUUGAAGUAGCAUAUCUCGCUACCUGCAUUUGCAAAAUGGAUUAUUUGAUGAAAAACCAGUGAGAGGUUGAACAGAUAAAACAAUGGAUGCUACAAAGUAGGAAGUGUCAUAUAGUGCAACUUUGCAAAACAAUCAUUGUUAGGACCCUGACUUUGUAUGCGAAAAACAAACAAGUAACCCCUUUUCUGUUUAAACAAAAAAGACCAUGUAGGCAAGACAGAGAGAUCUAGUGGAAGAUAUUAAUGUGCACCUAUUACAGGAUACCUGCACUGAAUAUCUAAUAUUGAAACUUUUCAAUUA